rnacentral:rRNA from 1 species
AACCUGCCCACUGAGGAUUUAAAUGGCCGCGGUAUUUUGACCGUGCAAAGGUAGCAUAAUAAUUAGUUUUUUAAUUGAAAGCUGGAAUGAAAGGUUGGAUGAGAAAAUAACUGUCUCUAUUUAGAUUAAUUAGAAUUUUAUUUUUAAGUAAAAAAGCUUAAAUAAAAAUAGAAGACGAGAAGACCCUAUAGAGUUUUAAUUUAGUUGGGGUGAUUGAAAAAUUUAAUAAACUUUUUUUUUAUUUAACCAUUAAUUUAUGAAUAGUUGAUCCUUUUUUUAAGAUUAAAAGUAAAAAUUACCUUAGGGAUAACAGCGUAAUUUUUUUAGAGAGUUCAAAUCGAAAGAAAAGAUUGCGACCUCGAUGUUGGAUUAAAAUUAAGUCUUGGUGUAGAAGCUAA